rnacentral:rRNA from 1 species
UGGCGGCAGGCCUAACACAUGCAAGUCGAGCGGCAGCGGGAGAAAGCUUGCAUCUUUGCUGGAGACCGCGGACGGGUAAGAAGUGUCUGGUGAUCUGCCCGAUGGAGGGCAUAACUAUUGGAAACGGUAGCUAAUACUGCAUAACGUCGCAAGACCAAAGUGGGGGAACUUCGGGCCUCACACCAUCGUGAUGAACCCAGAUAAGAUUCGCUAGUAGGUGGAGUAAUGGCUCACCUAGGCGACGAUCGCUAGUUGGUUUGAUUUGAGAGGAUGACCAGCCACACUGGAACUGAGAUACGGUCCAGACUUCUACGGGAGGCAUCAGUGGGGAAUAUUGCACAAUAGGGGAAAUACUGAUGCAGCCAUGUCGUGUGUGUGUGUGUGUGUGUGUGUGUGUGUGUGAAGAAGGCCUUCUGGUUGUAAAGCGCUUUCAGCAUGGAAGAAGGCGAUGGCGUUAAUAGCACCAUUGAUUGAGGUUACCCGCAGAAAAAGCACCAGUUAACUCCGUGCCAGCAGCCGCGGUAAUACGGAGGGUACGAGCGUUAAUCGGGUUAAUCGGAAUUACUGGGCGUAAAGCGUACGCAGGCGGUCUGUUUAGUCAGAUGUGAAAUCCCCGUGUUCAACCUGGGAACUGCAUUUGAGACUGGUAGGCUAGAGUCUCGUAGAAGGGAGUAGAAUUCCAGGUAUAGCGGUGAAAUGCGUAGAGAUCUGGAGGAAUACCGGUGACGAAGGCGGCCCUGAACGAAGAUUGACGCUUAGGUACGAAAGCGUGGUAAGCAAACAAGAUUAGAUACCCUGGUAGUCCACGCUGUAAACGAUGUCGAUUUGAAGGUUGUGGCCUUGAGCCGUGGCUUUCGGAGCUAACGCGUUAAUCGACUGCCUGGGGAGUACAGCCGCAAGGUUAAAACUGAAAUGAAUUAACGGGGUCCGCACAAGCGGUGGAACAUGUGGUUUAAUUAGAUGCAAUACGAAGAACCUUAUCUACUAUAUGACAUCCAGAGAACUAAGCAGAGAUGCCUUGGUGCCUUCGGGAGCUCUGAGACAGGUGCUGCAUGGCUGUCGUCAUGCUCGUGUUGUAAAAUGUUGGGUUAAGUCCCGCAACGAACGCGACCCUUAUCCUUUGUUACCAGUGAUUCGGUCGGGAAUUCAAAAGAGACUGACGGUGAUCAACCGCAGGCACGUGGGGAUGACGUUAAGUCUCAUGGCCCUUAUGAGUAAGGCUACACAUGUGCUACAAUGUCGCAUACAAAGAGAAGAGAUCUCGCGAGAGAUCCUCGGACCUAAUAAAGUGCGUUGUAGUCAAGAUUGGAGUCUGCAACUCGACUCUAUGAAGUCGGAAUCGCUAGUAAUCGUGGAUCAGAAUGCCACGGUGAAUACGUUAUAGGGCCUUGUAUAUACCGCCCGUCACACCAUGGGAGUGGUGUUGCAAAAGAAGUAGGUAACUUAACCUUCGGGAGGGUGCUUACUACUUUGUGGUUCAUGACUGGG